rnacentral:rRNA from 1 species
UGAAGUCAGUUUUUACUUAAUUUAUACAUGCAAGUCUCCGCACCCCUGUGAAAAUGCCCUUACACCCCUAAUCGGAAAAAGGAGCUGGUAUCAGGCACAAAAAUUAGCCCAAAACACCUAGCAACGCCACACCCACAAGGGAACUCAGCAGUAAUUAACAUUGGAAAUUAGCGCCAGCUUGAUUCAGUUAAAGUAAAAAGGGCAGGCAAAUAUGGUGCCAGCCGCCGCGGUUACACCACGGGGCCCAAAUUGACUUCCUUCGGCGUAAAGAGUGAUUAAAGUAACACUACACUGUAGUUAAACUAAAAUUAAGUUGUGAUAAGCUUAUAUUUAGGAAACCCAAAAACGAAAGUUACUACACCCCCCAAAACAACU